rnacentral:rRNA from 1 species
UACGUAGGUGGCAAGCGUUGUCCGGAUUUACUGGGCGUAAAGAGCGCGCAGGCGGUCGAAUAAGUCGAAUGUGAAAGCCCCCGGCUCAACUGGGGAGGGUCAUUCGAUACUGUUCGACUCGAAGGCAGGAGAGGGAAGUGGAAUUCCGGGUGUAGUGGUGAAAUGCGUAGAUAUCCGGAGGAACACCAGUGGCGAAGGCGACUUUCUGGCCUGUUCUUGACGCUGAGGAGCGAAAGCUAGGGGAGCAAACGGGG